UCCUUAAGUGACCGUGUCAGCGUGGUGCACCUGGACCCUUCCUCUGUGUUACACCUACUUGUGUGGGCUGGAGGGGGUAGGAGAUUUCGCCCUGGGCGCCUCGAAGCCCCAGGAAGCUCUAAAUGACAAAAUGGCGGCGGCGUGCCGUGCGCGCGGCCCUCUCUGUGAUGAGAACCUUUUCACAGACCUGUGCUGAACCCCGUGAGGAUAACGUACUCUGAAGAGACGGGCCUUGCAUCGCAGAAGUCUGACGCAGUCUCUGCCUCGGGAAACUAAGCGUUUGCAGAAUGGCCAUUGCUGACCCAUGUAUGUCGUCUUGCCUGCAGGGUUCUGGCGCUCGUCCGAAGGCCAGCGAGUCGGGAGGAGCCCGCUCGUUAUGGAAUGUGGUUCGGGUCAAAUGGGUUUACACCUUGGAGGACGGGACAAGACACCUUGUGCAAACCCAGCGUUAGAGUGGUGCCGCAGCAUCUCAUCACCAAUCCAGAGGAAUCCAGCUCUUUUCCAGGGUGAAUACAGACAGGUUGUCCUGACGACAGUGUACACAUCUUUCUUAGAAUGCCCAUUGAUCUGCCCAGGGUUGAACUGGAAAGAGUUGACAGAGCAGCUUGUUUCUGUACGCUACUGACAAACUUCUGGAAUUGAAAGGCACCGUGACUGGUCACCUGCUUGUUUGCUUAAUGAUCCAGCACUUUGUCUGGAGCCCAAGAAUGAUUUCAGGGAAACCAAGCCAUACUUCGGGUCAGCUCCAUCCUCAAGCUACGGGUCUGAAGAAAGAGCAAAGCAUGUCUAAUGGGUAGGUGUCUAUUCCAGUGUUGGUGCCUAGUAUUUAACGAAUUGACCUAGAUCCAUAGAACUAUGUGUUCCUAGUUCUUUAAUGGUAACUGGUAUAAAGGGGGGGGGAAGCACUUUGUAAACCUGCGUGUAGUGCAUAUAUUGUCCAUAGAGUAAGAAAACAAUUCCCUUUUUGUACAGGAAUCCAGCUAUGCAUGGAUAUAAAAACAUAUUUUUAAGUCAUUUCUUAGAAGCCUAGCUGUUCAGAUUAUGAUACGAUCAUUUCAGCCUUUCUAAAUAAACAUUUUUUUCCCCCUUCA